GAUGAACGCUAGCUACAGGCUUAACACAUGCAAGUCGAGGGGAAACGACAUUGAAGCUUGCUUCGAUGGUCGUCGACCGGUGCACGGGUGAGUAACGCGUAUCCAACCUGCCUCUGACCAAGGGGUAACCCGUCCAAAGUCGGCCUCAUACCUUAUGCAGUCGUCGGAAGUCAUCUGAUGACGACGAAAGAUUUCAUCGGUGAGAGAUGGGGAUGCGUCUGAUUAGCUUGUUGGCGGGGUAACGGCCCACCAAGGCCACGAUCAGUAGGGGUUCUGAGAGGAAGGUCCCCCACAUUGGAACUGAGACACGGACCAAAAUGCUACGGGAGGCAGCAGUGAGGAAUAUUGGGCAAGGGGGGAGAGCCUGAAACAGCCAAGUAGGGUGCAGGAGGACGGGCCUAGGGGUUGUAAACUGCUUUUAUGCGGGGAUAAAGUGAGGGACGUGGCAUUCAUUGAAGGUACCGAAUGAAUAAGGACCGGCUAAUUCCGUG
rnacentral:rRNA from 1 species